rnacentral:lncRNA from 13 species
CAGAGGAACCUGGCUUUGAGUCUCAAGUCUACGGAUUUUAAAGGAGCUCAGACACAGAUGGAAACAGGAGCCAGUAGAGACGAGGUCUCGCUAUGUGGCUCAAGCUGGUCUCAAACUCCCGGAUUCAAGCGAUGUUCCAGCCUUGCCUUUCUAAAGCACUAGGAUUACAGCUGUGAACGACCGCACCAGCUCCAUGAGGAGAAUUUGUGAGAAGAGCUCCUUAAUGGAUCAAGCCUACACUUCUAC